UGAGGCCAAUGCGUACUCAUAUGAAUUUGCAUGUAAACAAAUCAACAAUCACCACCAUAUCAAAAGCCUUAAUCCCAUUGGCAUUGGGAGACAAGGAUACACUUGAAAAGGACCCCAAGACAUGAGAUUAAAGAAGGCUCAAGAUGGAUAUUAAUUAAGACAAUUAAAUAAUAUUUAAGAGCUUGAUCUUAGAUUCGGUAUUCUCUCUACAAGUAGUAGAUCAUCAGGGGUUGUUAUCUGUAUAGAAAAGAAAAAAAAAAGGAUGUAUUAGCCGAAUUUUCAUGAAUACACUACUAUAAGUCCAGCAAUCGUUAUUUACUAACUUCGUUAUUAUGUUCUACUCACGUACUAUAAAUAAUUAAAUAUACAAUUUAAGAAAUUGUUGAAGAAUAUUUGUGAGUGUAAUAUAAAGUAAGAAAGAGAAUGUAAAAAAGUGGGUUUAUCCGUACCCAUUAAAAAGAGGAACUUGUCAAACAUGAAAGGAAUAGUUACUUGAGUGUGUAGUCAAUGAAUAUCACUGUUCAUAAGAUUUGCAAAACUGGGAGGGUUUGGGUUUCUAGCAUUUGGGUGCAAUUUCAUUUUAUUUGGUAAGUCACCAAAUUACUUUUCUCCCUAUUUUCCUCUAUUUCAUACAUUUCCCCUUAUUUCUCUGUCAUCUCUUUUCCUGAUUUCAAGCUCUUCCAUUUAUUCCGUUUUUCAUAAAAUAAAAAAAAUAAAAAAGAAAAAAUAAUAAUAAAAAAUCUUCUUUUCUCUGUCUCUCUCCUCCUGCUCUCUAUUUCUCCAUCUCCACCAUUGAAGUUGUGCUCUGAUUUUACCAUCUCCAUCUCCAUUCCCAUGCAAUUUCGUUUUUUCAGAUUCCUCAAUUUUUUUUUUUCCGUUCUCCAGAUUCUCAUUUUUUCCGUUAAUGUUCUAAUAAAAGUGUUAAGACAUUAUCUUGAGUUAUGUUGCUUCUAUGGCGGCUGAGGAUUUCGGUCGGCGUUGAAGCAAACUCUGAGCUUUCCUCCAUUGAAUCAGCUUGUUCUCCAAGGUAGCGUUUGUUUAAUUUCAUAUAGUGUUUAAUUUAAUUUCCUGCAUAAUCAAUUUAGGGUUCUUAGAUGGAUUAUUGAACUUUCUAAUUACUGAAGUUAUGAAAUAUUAAAACGAAUAAUUUAGCUGCUAGCUUUAGCUAUGUGCAAAUUACGUUGAUUAAGUGAAGAAUUUUAUGUGAAUUUCUUAGACUGAUCAAAUAAUUGAGUGAAGUUAUGAAUUUUUUCCAGAAAACACUCCAUUAUUACCUUAACUCUACUGUGAAAUUGCAGUCCAAACUUAGAAAUCCUUGGCUUCGAUUUUCUAAAUUACAAAGUAAUUACAUGUAUGAGUAUAAAUUAGGCCUUUGACUGUGCCAUUCCAGUAAUCAAACUUUGAAUAUUAGUUUUUAAAAUUUUUGUUUUGCCUCAAUUAAUAUUCAAUCGAACAAAGUUUGGGGUUUUGAAAAAGCUAGAAUUUUUUAUAUUGGGUAAGGAUUGAUCAAAAAUAUUGAAUUUAUCUAAAAUAUAUGUCACUUUACCCUUGCUUUCGUGGAGGAGUAUUUGUUACUUGACUUUACAUUCUUUGGUGGUUGAUUUUUAUUGAAAAACUUCAACAACUUGGGUUUGAUUUCUUUUAGUUUUCCACAUUUUUCAUCCAUUGUUCAAGCUCAUGUGCUUAGGUUAUUUAACUUAUUAGAUAAGAAUGAUAGUGGGUUUUGGAGGGUUUAAGGAAAAGAAAAAGAUAAGAUUAUGUAAUUAGGAAGUGAAAUAAUGGAGCUAUGGGCUCGAUUUUAAGUCAAGAAAUAGCGAGAAAUAUGACAGACUCUCUAAUUAAUUUUGGGGUCCUUUUGUUUCAAUUUUAAGUCAAGAAGUAUGACAGACUCUCUAAUUAAUUUUGGAUUAAUCAAUUUUGGGGUUCUCGGCAUUAUCAAUAUAGUGCAUCAACUUGAUUAUAUUAAGUUCUUGCCAAUUAUGUUAUGUAGAAUUGCAAUUCUCUGUCUUGUCUACAUUAACAGAUUUAUGUUGGGUACUUCCUUUCUGAUAGUGCCAUGAUAUUUUGGUUUUAUCAUGUUUUACGUGGAAUGGAGUAUGUAAGUAAUACCUUAACUCUAUUUUUCACCUUAGAUUGAUGUAGUAGUGAAAUUUUAAGGUAGCUUAUUAGUUACAUCUGCUAAGCUCAAAAAAAGCAACAAAUGCUUAAAUAUGGGAGACCAAUUGGUUAAUAUCAUGUUCUUUCUAAAAUUAGAAAAGACGUAUGUUUUAACCAUGUAGUUCAUCUUUACAAGUGCUUCAUCAUCUUUUGUCAAUGGGAGCACUAGCAUAUGCUAUGUUGAAUAGAACAGGGAAAUUCUAAACCUAUAUGGCUCUUCUUUAUAAGAUAGCAACACCAGGGAUCAACAUGAGAUGGUAAGUCUUUUAUCAUUUUGUAAUCAUGUUAAUCAGUUUAAAUUUGUUUUGCCGUUCCCUCGUAUAUGAUGUGAAGCUUUUGUUGCUGAAGGUAUCUUAUACCAUUGUUUACAAAAGCUUUUGUUGUUUUUGUAUAUGGAGUUGGUAUAUUCUUGACUUGGCUGGUGAGUACAAUUAGAUUUAAGGAUAGGCAAAACAAAUAGUGAACUUGUGUUUGCCAAUGAUAAGUGUUUUGUUAUUUAGACAGGAUUUUGAAAAUGCAUAAUCAUAGUGUUAUAAACUAUAUUAAAAAAAGAAAAAAAGGAUAAAGAUGGUUAGGAAAUGUGAAUAAUCCAGUUGUCAGCUUUUGUAAACAAUGGUAUCUUAUUUGGUGCUUCAAUCUUAUAUUGCAUAUUAGUUACAUUGGGCUUAAUGUUCUUUUGCUAGCUGUGCAUUUUGUUUGUAUAUCAGGUAAAGCAUUAUUAUGCAGGUUCUGCAAUGGGGUAUGAAUUAUGUGGGUAACGUUGGAAGGUAAUUUCUACCAUCUUUAUGUUGUGUGUUUGAUAUAUUUGAAUGUGAAGAUUGUGAACGGUUUUCUUAGUAUGAGUUUGAUUAUUAUGAUCUUUAACUAUACUUGUAUUUAGUUAAGUUGGAUUGUCUUUAGGAAUUGCAAUAUGUGUCGAGUAUCGAGUUUUAUAUAGUUGACUCUAAAUUUAGUAAUAAUAUUUUAUAUGGUUGACAUGCAAUUAGACAUGGUAUAGCCAUUUGCUCUUCAUCAACAGCAAAUUGCUAUGCUGGCACAGCAACCAAGUCUUCUUAUGGCUGCAGCUGCUCAAGCAGCUAAUGGAGCUUCAAAACCAAACGUCAUUAUGCAACAACCUGGAUUAAAUGGCACCAAUUUUCCGACUCAAAACUGGCUAGGUCUUGGGUAUUUCCUAGGUUAACUAUGCCAUUAACUGGUCAGAAUGAACUACCAAAAUCAGCUCAGGUUGGGAACUCUCUGUCAAUGUACCCAACAGGAAAUCCUUCCUAUUUCCCAGAAAUGGUGAAUGUAUGAGGCUUACUAUUAUUCUAAUGCGGCACAAUCAGAUCUGUCAUAUACUCAUAUUCUACUCACGGCAAUAUAAGAUCUUUUUUCUGGAUAUUCUCAAACUUCGAAUUUUUCUGAUCUUUCAUAUUCUCUACUCACGGACGAUAUAAGGAAUUAGGGGGGUGGUAGAAGGACGAGGAGUAUUUUGGCAGCUGUGAGCAGGAUGCUAAUGAAGAGUGGCCAUAGUAAUCAGUAAAUGUUGUGAUGUGUUGUUGAAUGAGAAUUAGUUUUGGCAUUUACAUUGAUGCUAGCUGUUUUGAGAGUGGGUUAAUUUUAUUUUAUUUUUUGUUGUUGGUGUUGUUGUUGUUGAAGGAACAACUUCUGUUUUCUUAAUUUGGUUCAUUUUACUUAUUGUAGCACUACAUAUGUGCAUUUGCAUUGAGUUAACUUAUUUUCUCUAAUUAACUACAAUAUUUGUUUUCUCUUAGGUGCUUAAUUGUAUUAUCUAGAAGCUACACAAUUUCUUCAAUAAGUUCCCAUUCUGCUAAUCUUAUUCUGCUUAAAGUUAGUAUACUUGUAUGUACUUAAAAUGUAUACUUGUAUGAUUGGCUUAAAGUUGGCUUAAAGUUAGUACUUAAAAUGUACACAUAUGUCAGUCACAUGAGACAAUGCAUGCUUAAUUGCUCACUAUUAGUAGAAUCUGUCACUUAAUUUGGUACUUAUAAAUGCUGUUUUU